CUUUGAACGAUUAUUACAUGUUCUAUGAGUGUGCAUGUGUUCUAAGUGAGGAGACGCGCUGAUAUGACUUAUUGAAGGUCUCGAUACAACAUGGCGCGACAGUUGGCCGUCCAGAACCAUUUUGCACGAUCACUGUGUUUCUUCGAGCUUUGUCGUAAUCGAGGCGACUUGAGUGCUCAGAGUCAAGCGAGUGUACUUAAAAAUUAGGAUUUUAUAUGAGGGACUUUGCCGCGUCUUUAAUUGGGCGGAUGUGAGCAUUCGACAUGAUCCCCGAAGCGCAAGCCACUACCAUAAUAGUUACGUGCAGUGCGAGGUGAGCUAAGCUUCGCCGCCUAACCGCGGCCUGAAAAUGUGGCGGCUCGUUAAGGGCUUACUGCAGUGCGCGUGUGUGAGUGUUUGUACAGCGAUCAUUUGUGCGAGAACCGGCGGCGCUUCUUUGUGCGCGGUAUCUGCUAGCUGGCGCGUACGUGGCGCCAAUCCCCUAGCUCGUGCGAUUGUGUGCAGUAGGUCGCCCACUUAGCGCGCAUUGUGCAGAUUUGCCAGUACGCUCCUUUCUAUCGUCUGUGUCUCUUCGCGCCCACGUCGUUGAUUGUGCAGGCAGUGCGCGACUGCGGCACGUAGCAUGUAGAGCCUGCGCCCGUCGACUUUGAUCUACGGGCGUGAAAUGUCGGCGGCGCGUUUGUGGUAUUAAAAGCGUGUGGUGAGCUUCCAACGGCACUACGGGUCAACGCCGCAUGAGCUGCCGGUCAGAGUAUAAGAACCUCUUUAUUGUUAGCGUACUGCUUGGCGGUAACAGGUGUCCUGCUUGGGUUCAGAUUACUGGAUAUGCCGUCACUUGAACCUUGGCGGCCGGAGCAGGUGAGUACCAGUGGCGCCGGCACCUCGGCGGGCAGAAAACGGUGCCCGUGCGGUGACGAGAUACAUCAAUUUACGCGAUGGCAUUGCCGGUGAUAGGUCAUACGGGCGCGUCGCUCCAUGCCUGUGUUCUUUGCUGAGGCCGCCACUACGCCUGCGGUGCACUUACUACGUUAUAUCUAUAUAGUCGAUGCUUGUGCAAUGUUGUUAUUCAACAGCUGGCGCUGUGCUCUGGAUAGCUGAACUUGUUUAAUGUUUAAUUACUUUGCUGCUGUGCCAUUGCGUAUUGGGUACAGAUAUUUAGUAUUGAAUUCUAGGUGCCAAAUUCACACAAAGAAGUUGCGCUUUUCAACUCAGGAUCAUAUCACACAUCACAGCGUCAUCCUAUAUUGCACGAGUAUUAUUAACAAAAUUUCUGUUGCUGGUGAAAAAAAAAGGCAGGCCGAUCAACCUGUAACCUGUAUCUGUGAGAAAAAUGUGCUUCAAGUCCGCCAUUGUCUAUAAAAAAAGGUACUACCUUGGUAUUUAAUGUCAGUAACACUCAUAAGUUAUGCAUCCUUUUGUGUGAAAUAAUUUGUCUUAGAAGCCAUUCAUUGUAAGGGAUCAGUAAACAUCUCAUAGCUUAAGUAGUGCAUAUGUGCAUGAGUUGGGCAAAGGUAUUGGUUUGUAAAGAGCAAAGCCAUUAAGAUAUAAAAUAUUGGCAAGCUUAGUUUAACAAUAAGCUGACGAAUAUACAAAACCUAAUGUAGCAGCAGAUGUUCUCCAAGAUAAGCUUGUGACCAGCUUUUUUGUGUUCUGUGUGAUCAUUGUAGUGUCAAAUUUUUCAUUUUUAUUUCAGGACUGCGGCUGCGGUCGUUUCAUUGCCAACUGUGAGGAUGAAGCAGCUUCAUGGCCGGAGAUCGGGCGCCUCCCAUCAGUUUCCCUUUUCAGCAAUAGAGGCCUUGGAGGCCUUUCUACCUGCGUUGCAUCCUGUGUGGACCACUCCAACGAUCUCGGCAGAAUCGUUGCACAGGAAGAAGUCUGGCUGGCCCCAAGCCUGGUGCAAAAUGAAGAAAUGGUACUCCACAUCAAUUCAUGUUUACUUGUCGUCAUAACCAGUCUGUUAGCUUAAUUUUUGGUUCUUCCUAUUGAAUUCUCAAGAAAGGUACCAACUCUGUCAUUCAUUGAAAACAAAUUUUUGCACUUGGGGAUGCAGCCAUGCAUUAAUAUCUUUAUUUUUUAAAGAAAGUGCAGCUCCUGCGUGGAGCAAUAGGUUGAAUAAGACGAGGGUAAAUGAAAAGAUGGCGAAAUUAGUCAUCAACAGUUGUCCAACAAAGGAAGUCUCAAGCUGGAGGCAACAUCUUUGCAAGAGAACCAAAUGGCUCCAGCCUGAAACAUUCGUUGUUCAGCCUGGCAAGUCUCCUUCUCGACAUAUUUCCUCUAGCCUGAGACCUAUAUCCAUUCCACCACCCUUGACCAACAAUACACCUAUACAUUUGGCAACCCGUGGAAAGGUAGCAAAUUCACAUUCAAGGAAAGGGAAUGUGGUGUGCACCCUGGAAGGUAGCAUGAACAGUAUUUUAUUUACUUAAUGAAAUGCAGAUUUGCUAUCCAAUUACUUUAUCCUGAUAAUUGGUUGGCUCUCUGCAAUGUCUCUCAGUAAAUAUAAUGCCUGGUAAAUGGAACCAAUUUCCCUGGUACCUUGAGGCUCCAUUUAAAGAGCACCCACUGUAAAAAUAUAGGGGGGAUCGUGUUUGGAACUUUCGUAAAUGUAGUCUUAAACAAAACCGCAUUUCAGUGGGAGCGAAAUGCAAAAGCACCCGUGUACUUAGACAGGUGCAUGUUAAAGAACCCCACGUUGUUCAAAUUAAUUCGGGGUUACUCGCUAUGGCAUGUGUCAUAAUCAGAAGGUGGGUUCUGGUUCGUAAAAUACAAUAAUUUUUAAUAGCUUGCUCAGAAAUCCAGCACUAAAUUAUGUCGCUUGUUUGUGUGAUGAGUCCCAAUUUCUUAAUUUAGUACUUUGACAUUUAUCAUAUUUGUGUGCUAGUCCAUGCAAAAUACCACUGAUCGGCCUCAUUAUACCAGCCACUGUUAAUUAGGAAUGGCUUAGUCAAGCAACUUAAACUUACAGCACAAACACCUAAGACGAACCACAAAAGGAAGAUACGACACACACUGGUGCUAACAACUUCUUUAUUUCUUCGUCGUCGAUGCAAUAUAAACCCUAGGCCACACUACCGCGCAGGCACUCAGAUUACAUUACAGAGAUCUGCCAAAUGAUCACAUACGCAAGCGUAGGAAGUCAAAUUCAGAUGGAUGCACGGACAAAGAUAUCUUACUAAUGCAAUUAUCGCCCUGCCUUCCUCUAAGGCAAGCCGCACAUGCUCAUUCUUGCUUUUGCCAAGAAUCGACGUCCCAUCAAGUUGUGCCUCACAAUUGUUGCAAGAGUUUAUAUGCGCACCAAGGUGCGCUCCUCUAUCUACAUUUGUGUUUACUUGUUGCGCAUGUUCCCUGAGUCGCUCAUUGACGCAAUGCCCUAUCUAGCCAAGCUAUGUCUUACCACAUGAGAGUGAAUGGCAUAAACCACGCCGACCGCGCACAACACGUAUGAAGCAUCAUGCCAAAUUUGGCGUCCUCCUCUGCCCUCUCCGCAGGUGCGGGAGCACAGCUUUAAAAGCUUGUUCGGUGCAGAAAACGCCAAAGGAACACUAUGCCUGCAAGCAAUUUUCUUGAGUUGAUAGAUGACCUUAUGUGUUUAAGGGACCGCGCAGGGAACAUGCACAAAAAGUAAACAAAAAUGUAGAUAGAAGAGUGCACAUUGUUGCGCAUAUAAACUGUUGCAAAAAUUGUGAGGCACGACUUGAUGGGACGUCGAUUCUUGGCAAAAGCAUGAAUGAGCUUGCGCGGCUUGCCUUAGAGGCCUACCACAUGAAAAGGCAAAAUGAUAAUUGCAUCAGUGACAUAGCUUUGUCCCUGCACCCAUCUGAAUUUGAGUUCCUACGUUUGCAUAUGUGAUAAUUUGGGAGAUCUCUGUAAUGUAAUGUGUGCGCCUGUGCAGUUGUGUGGCCUAGGGCAUAUAUAUGCAUCGACGACGAAGAAAUAAAGAAGUUGUCAGUUAGCGCCAGCGUGUGUCAUAUCUGCCUUUUGCGGUUCGUCUUAGGUGUUUGCGCUGUAAGUUUUAAGUUCAGAAUUAUGUACCAACUAGGGCAAAUGAAGUUUUACUCUUAGUCAAGCGAGCUCAAUAUAUAGUCUGUGCAAAAGUGUGGAGUGUCAGUACAAAGUAACAGUUCAAACACAUGGCUCUGUAGUUACAGUUCAGUAUGAAACGAGAUAAGAUUUCUUAGAAUUUCUUUCAUUUACUAAUUUCAUUGUGUUAGGACAUGUACAAUACUAGCAACUGGCAUGCUUACAAUGUACAGUGCUCUUUUUUAAAAUCCAGACAAUUGUUUUACUGGGGCAGAAAUGUGCUUUCUUUUGGGCCCGGAAGUGAACAUAUUAUAUUUCUUACAUUUGGUGUAAAAUAAAUUUUCUUCACUGUCA